CAGCUGAUAUCUCAAAGUGCUGUACAGAAACCCAGCCUAAAACCCCAAACAGCAAGCAAUGCAGGUGUAGAAGCCGGUAGUGCUUCUACCCACAGUCUCUAUACACUCCUACCCCAGCCUCUAUACAGCUCCUACCCACAGCCUCUAUACAGCUCCUACCCACAGCCUCUAUACAGCUCGUACCCACCGGUCUCUAUGCAUCCCUACCCACAGUCUCUAUACAGCUUAUACCCACAGCCUCUAUGCAGCUCCUACCUUGCCCACAGCCUCUAUACAGCUCCUACCCUGCCCACAGCCUCUUACACUCUACCCACAGCCUCUAUACAGCUCCUACCCCAAGCCUCUAUACAGCUCCUACCCACAGCCUCUAUGCACUCCUACCCUGCCCACGCCUCUAUACAGCUCCUACCACAGCCUCAUACAGCUCCUACCCAAAGCCUCUAUACAGCUCCUACCCACAGCCUCUAUGCAGCUCCUACCCUGCCCACCGCUAUCUACAGCUACCUACCCACAGCCUCUAUACAGCUCCUACCCAAAGCCUCUAUCAGCUCCUACCCACAGCGCUCUAUACAGCUCCUAUACCCUGCCCACAGCCUCUAUACAGAUCAUCCCCCCAUCUCUAUACAGAUCCUACCCUGCCCACAGCCUCUAUACAGUAUCCUACACACGCCUCUAUACACGCCUCCUGCCCACAGCCUCUAUACACGCCCCUGCCCCACAGCCCUCUUAUACACGCGCUGCCCACAGCCUCUAUACACGCCCCUGCCCACAGCCUCUAUACACUCCCUACCACAGCCUUAUACAGCUCCUGCCCUGCCCACAGCCCUCAUAUACACGCCCCUGCCCUGUUUCACACCUCUAUACACGCCCUGCCCUGUCACAGCCCUCUAUACAGCUCCUUCCUACCCCAGCCUCUAUACACGCCCUUCCCUACCCACAGCCUCUAUACACGCCCUGCCCUGUUCACAGGCCUCCUCUAUACAGCUCCUGCCCUACCCACAGCCUCUAUACACGCCCUGCCCACAUGUUGCAUCCCAAAUCCCAACCUUUUCCCUACACAGUGCGCAGCUUUCAUAGGGAAUAUGGUGCCAUUGGGACGCAGUAGGAACAGACAGAUGCCUGGGUGGAAAGUCCACACAGCGUAG
rnacentral:lncRNA from 1 species